rnacentral:rRNA from 1 species
AUUGAACGCUGGCGGCAUGCCUUACACAUGCAAGUCGAGCGGCAGCGCGGGGGCAACCCUGGCGGCGAGCGGCGAACGGGUGAGUAAUACAUCGGAACGUGUCCAGUAGUGGGGGAUAACCAGUCGAAAGAUUGGCUAAUACCGCAUACGAUCUACGGAUGAAAGCGGGGGACCGCAAGGCCUCGCGCUAUUGGAGCGGCCGAUGUCGGAUUAGCUAGCUGGCGGGGUAAAAGCCCACUAAGGCGACGAUCCGUAGCUGGUCUGAGAGGACGAUCAGCAACACUGGAACUGAGACACGGUCCAGACUCCUACGGGAGGCAGCAGUGGGGAAUUUUGGACAAUGGGGGCAACACUGAUCCAGCCAUGCCGCGUGAGUGAAGAAGGCCUUCGGGUUGUAAAGCUCUUUCGGCGGGGACGAAACGGUUUGCGCCAACACCGCAAACUAAUGACGGUACUCGCAGAAGAAGCACCGGCUAACUACGUGCCAGCCGCCGCCGUAA